CGUACCUGAGGUACAAUUGGUAUUUUCACGCUAAAACAAUGUGAUGGGGAAAUCGAGGAGAGACUUACUGUUGUCUUACCUGAGACCAGACUGUUGACAAACUGGAGGUGUUCCUGAAGAUUGCAUGAUGUGACAGGUGCUCCCACAGAAGCUGCUGUUUCUAUCACGCUGUUCCUACUGCUCCUGCUGGGUGUCUGCUUGCGAUCUUUAUCUCAGAUCCCACACUUUGAAAAGAGAUUCUAAUCAUUGCAACCACAACUGUUGGAACCAUAAUCACCAUCAUCACAAACUAGCUCCCAUUAAUAGCCAUUUAAGGAUCUUCUGUGUCUGUUAAACAUCAUGAUUUCCAUCUUCAUCAAUUAAAUUUGUAUUGUGUUCUCAAACCCAUUUUAUUAAAUUGUAACAUUUUGUAACAUGGUUCUG
rnacentral:lncRNA from 1 species